rnacentral:lncRNA from 1 species
ACUGAGAUAAGAAGUGUCUCUAGGAGCUCGUGAUGAAAGACCUUGAACACGGUGAUAAGUAGAUAAACAAAUCUUGGAAGCAGUGGGAAGCAACUACACGACUUUAAACCGUUUUAAGAGGCAUGAUGGAUUGGAGAUUUGGCGGAUGAAUCAUUCAGUGUGGAAGUAGACGAACAGGCAUGAUGAGGUUGUGCACAAAAGCUGGUUGGAAUGAUGAGGGUGUGACUUCAGUCACAGGAGUGAUGGAGAGGCAUAACACCAUCUGAGAGAUGUGAACAGGGCCUGAAUAAUUGUGCUGGGAGAGCAGAGCCAGCUAGAA